GCAUCUCUCUUACACUGAGAAGUUACCUGUGCAAAUCAGGUCACCUUGA
rnacentral:tRNA from 2 species